CCUACGGGAGGCAGCAGUGAGGAAUAUUGGGCAAUGGGCGCAAGCCUGACCCAGCAACGCCGCGUGAAGGAAGAAGGCUUUCGGGUUGUAAACUUCUUUUAAGAGGGAAGAGCAGACGACGGUACCUCUUGAAUAAGCCACGGCUAACUACGUGCCAGCAGCCGCGGUGAUACGUAGGUGGCAAGCGUUAUCCGGAUUUAUUGGGUGUAAAGGGCGGGUAGGCGGGAAAGCAAGUCAGAUGUGAAAACUCAGGGCUCAACCCUGAGCCUGCAUUUGAAACUGUUUUUCUUGAGUGCUGGAGAGGCAAUCGGAAUUCCGGGUGUAGCGGUGAAAUGCGUAGAUAUACGGAGGAACACCAGUGGCGAAGGCGGAUUGCUGGACAGUAACUGACGCUGAGGCGCGAAAGCGUGGGGAGCAAACAGGAUUAGAUACCCGUGUAGUC
rnacentral:rRNA from 1 species